CCUGCCCUUGAGUGGGGGAUAACCUCGGGAAACCGAGGCUAAUACCGCAUAACAUCGCAAGAUCAAAGGAGCAAUCCGCUUUUGGAGGGGGUCGCGGCUGAUUAGCUAGUUGGUAAGGUAACGGCUUACCAAGGCGACGAUCGGUAUCCGGCCUGAGAGGGCGCACGGACACACUGGAACUGAAACACGGUCCAGACUCCUACGGGAGGCAGCAGUGGGGAAUUUUGCGCAAUGGGGGAAACCCUGACGCAGCAACGCCGCGUGGAGGAUGAAGCCCCUUGGGGCGUAAACUCCUUUCGACCGGGAAAAUUAUGAUGGUACCGGUGGAAGAAGCACCGGUUAACUCUGUGCCAGCAGCCGCGGUAAUACAGAGGGUGCGAGCGUUGUUCGGAAUUAUUGGGCGUAAAGGGCGCGUAGGCGGUGCGGUAAGUCACCUGUGAAAUCCCCGGGCUUAACUCGGGGCCUGCAGGCGAAACUGCCGUGCUGGAGGGUGGGAGAGGUGCGUGGAAUUCCCGGUGUAGCGGUGAAAUGCGUAGAUAUCGGGAGGAAC
rnacentral:rRNA from 1 species